GGUUAAGUCCCGCAACGAGCGCAACCCCUAUCAUUAGUUGCCAACAGGUAAAGCUGGGAACUCUAAUGAAACUGCCGCCGUAAGGCGUGAGGAAGGAGGGGAUGAUGUCAAGUCAUCAUGGCCUUUAUGCCCAGGGCUACACACGUGCUACAAUGGGAAGUACAAAGGGUUGCUACCUGGUGACAGGACGCUAAUCUCAAAAAACUUCUCUCAGUUCAGAUUGCAGGCUGCAACUCGCCUGCAUGAAGCUGGAAUCGCUAGUAAUCGUAGAUCAGCAAUGCUACGGUGAAUACGUUCCCGGACCUUGUACACACCGCCCGUCAAGCCAUGGAAGCCGGGGGGACCUGAAGUCGGUAACCGCAAGGAGCCGCCUAGGGUAAGACCGGUAACUGGGGCUAAGUCGUAACAAGGUAGCC
rnacentral:rRNA from 1 species